rnacentral:rRNA from 1 species
GACGAACGCUGGCGGCGUGCCUAAUACAUGCAAGUCGAGCGGGGAUUAUGCUUGAUCGCUUCGGUGAGACGGCAUAUAUCCUAGCGGCGGACGGGUGAGUAACGCGUGGGUAAUCUACCUCGUAGUUCGGGAUAACAGGCCGAAAGGCUUGCUAAUACCGGAUGAGUUCAUGCUUAUGCAUAUAGGCAUGAAGAAAGGGCUAGCCCGCUAUGAGAUGAGCCCGCGUCCCAUUAGCUUGUUGGUGGGGUAAUGGCCUACCAAGGCAACGAUGGGUAGCCGGCCUGAGAGGGUGUACGGCCACACUGGGACUGAGACACGGCCCAGACUCCUACGGGGGGCAGCAGUAGGGAAUUUUCGGCAAUGGGCGAAAGCCUGACCGAGCGACGCCGCGUGAGGGACGAAGGCCUUCGGGUUGUAAACCUCUGUCUGGGGGGAUGAGAACGGACGGUACCCCCGGAGGAAGCCUCGGCUAACUACGUG